GCUGAAUACAGAGGGCAAGAGUGUGGGCAGGAAGAACAUGAUGGUAGCCUGCAAUAAGAUCAUCAGCAAUGGAGAUGGUUCUCUGUGUUCUCUCGACGUCUGGUGCAAUGAAGAAGUCGGGAGAUGGUGCUUGAAUCCUGACUCUGCCACAAGCUGGCUGUGUGACCCUGGGGAAGCCACUUCUCUGCUCUGAGCUGCUCAUUUGCAAAAUGAAGAGCUCUUCUAGAACACUUCCACCUCCAUGGACAUUUGAGACCCUCACAACCGUCUUCUGUGAAAAGGAAACUAAAACACACAUGCGACCUGCUUCCAGUUAUACCACAAGGUAGAAUCAGAUAAAAUCCUGAGCAGUGCCCUCCCUGCAUUUAACUCGACACAUGAUUUAUGGAGCACCCGCCAAAUUCUUGUUGAGAAAACAGAGAGGAAUAAGCCACAGAAUCCAUCCUCGAGGAAUUCAGAGUCCAUUAGGGAGACAGACAGAUAAACAGAUAAUUCCAGCACAGUUUGGUAUGUGCUCUUAAUGAUACAAAGUACUAGAGCAAUGCAGAAUUCAGAGUGGCUAAUUUUGCCUGGGGUUAUCAGCAAAGGCUCCAUCCAGGAGUGGGCACUUGGCUAUACUGACAGAGUGGAAGAGCGUUCCAGCAGAAGGGAACAGAGUGAGCUAAAGCAAGGUUAUGGGAGAGAACACAGUGUGUGCAGAGAGCCCCACACAGAUAGUGUGAAACAGCUGGAGGGUUUAUAGAGAGUGGCGCAGAAUCAUCUCGGGGGCUGUCAGUAGGUAUCAGCCGCCAUCCUCACCUCACUUGGCACGCCCCCUGAGGCUACGGCCUGUGUCCAUCUAAUAGGCCAGUACAACACCUGGCCAAGUGCCGGUGGCAUGGUAGUGCUUAAUGAAUUCCCUUUGAAGAUGAGAGGAUUGUGAGGGAGAAAAGAAUUUGCCACUCGAGUGAGUCAACUGGAACGGAAGGUGUGUCCUGGUUCCUGAGGCCCAGCACUCGGGCUGGCCAACUGGACAGCAAGGUCACCUUCCCCGGGGGCAUAGGGGUCCACCUGGGAAUAUCAAGUCUUUUUUCAGCAAGUCGUUCCUAAGCCACAGUACUUUUGGCUCACUCCUUGCCUUUAUAGUUCUACCAACGUAAUUGAUCCCAGAGCUCGGUUUCUGCCAUAGCCCUUGGUUUCCUAGGGAGUGAUGGCAUAUUCAGGCCUCCUUGGAGCCCCAGCACGGCCCAAGCCUCCUGGGGGACAGCGCAGAGGGAUGUGUAACAGGCAGACAUUAAUAGUCCUGUUCUGCUGUAGUCAUCUUUUUGGGUGCUCUGAGCUUCCUGUCCUGAGCUAAGAUUUUCCUUUGGGGUUAGCUGAGGCAUGGAAAAAUAAACAAAGCUUUAAAGUGACUCUCCCCAUUGGAAAGCUAAAAGCAUUUCCAAGAAGCUGCUUUUUCCUACCUUCUGAUGAGUGUGUCCAGG